UACAGGGGGUGCAAACGUUGCUCGGAAUCAUUGGGCGUAAAGCGCACGUAGGCGGUCUGUUAUGUCGGAUGUGAAAGCCCUUGGCUUAACUGAGGAAGUGCAUCCGAAACUGGCAGGCUAGAGUACUAAAGAGGGUCGCGGAAUUCCUGGUGUAGAGGUGAAAUUCGUAGAUAUCGGGAGGAACACCGGUGGCGAAGGCGGCGACCUGGGUAGAUACUGACGCUGAGGUGCGAAAGCGUGGGGAGCAAACAGG
rnacentral:rRNA from 1 species